rnacentral:rRNA from 1 species
UGGGGAAUCUUGGACAAUGGGCGCAAGCCUGAUCCAGCCAUGCCGCGUGGAUGAUGAAGUAUUUCGGUAUGUAAACUUCGAAAGAAUAGGAAGAAUAAAUGACGGUACUAUUUAUAAGGUCCGGCUAACUACGUGCCAGCAGCCGCGGUAAUACGUAGGGACCAAGCGUUGUUCGGAUUUACUGGGCGUAAAGGGCGCGUAGGCGGCAAUUCAAGUCAUCUGUGAAAUCUCCGGGCUUAACUCGGAACGGUCAGAUGAUACUGCUUUGCUAGAGUGCAGAAGGGGCAAUCGGAAUUCUUGGUGUAGCGGUGAAAUGCGUAGAUAUCAAGAGGAACACCUGAGGUGAAGACGGGUUGCUGGGCUGACACUGACGCUGAGGCGCGAAAGCCAGGGGAGCAAACGGGAUUAGAUACCCAAGUAGUCCCUGAGCGGGCUGGCAAGGCGCAU